UUAAAAAAAAAGCGUUGUUUAGAAGGAGUGCAAUGGCGAAUUGAGUUGUUGCACACGCGCACUUCACAGAGUAGUCGUUCCCUAACGGAAAUAUGCAAAUACGUACUAGAACGCACCAAUAGGCUCUCGCUAGCUCGUGCUUGGCUCUGCCCACCUCCUUGCUUGGUCUGCCCACUGUGAUUCCUUUGCUUCCGUUGGAAAGGACAUGCUGUGGUGUAUCUUGUUAGUUAUAAAACAUAUUUGUUUCUAGCUUCCGUUGCUAGGGCUGUUGCUAGAACUUGCACAAUUAUGACCGGUCUACGUAAUGAACCAAAGUGUCAGUUGCUGUGAUGGUUGCUUGUCGUAGAUCGCCAAAGACUGGGGACGCAGACAGUUCUAGUUCACCUCAUAAGCGCUCGCUCAGCCAGCAAAAUUAUUACCUCAGAAUCGCUCUCCUAGGACGGUGACUACCUGCUGCUUCAGAAUACCGAAAAGACUGGAAAUAGAACACUUUCUUUACCAUAUAUUUGUCUUUGUAUAAGAAAAUAUUGUUACAUAGGAAGAAAAAAUGUCAGCUGUUUUUAUAUUGGCAUUGCUAGCAACUGUACUUAUUUACCUCAGCCUGCCUAGUCAGCUAGCUAGCCAGACAGUUUUAUUUAGCUAACGUUAGCUAGCUACCUAACUGUUAAUGUAGCUUUCUGUUUGUAUGUAACUUGCACUUCAAUGGCAUACCUCGAGGAGAUUUUAUUUGAUCUUUCCAACCAGGCGAAGUACUAUGAAGGCAUCACUGAUCUCAACAAGAGGCGCAACAUUCGUUGGGGGCAGAGAAAUUCACAAUUCAGGGUGAGACUGAACAUCGACAAGGCACAGGACAAACGGAAGGAGAAUCAAGAAGGGACCAAGUGCUUCGACAUCUGGGCAAAUGACUUGGUUUGGAAGAAGGGUGAAAGGAAGGCGAGACCUGGGAAACCUCGCUGCUCUUUCGCUCCUAGCUGGGCUCAUCAUAUGUUAAGGGUUACCUCGGUGGAAGCCAACAAUCUUCUCCAGUUGGACAGUCGACCACUGAAAGCCCAGAUGCCUUAAACCUUUGAAGCCUAUGAGUCAAAGAUAAUCGACUGUCCGAGCCUCCCAGGAGGUAUCCCAGCCACCAGAGCCAGUGAGUUUGGAUCAGUCUAAUUCUCUGUGCUCUGAGUCAGAAGGGGACCCGCUUGAGGACCUAGAGGUUCUGCCCAACACCCAGAUGUGGAUCCACCUGAUGUCCUCUAUUACCAACCACCAUCUAACUUUUUUCAUUACAUCAUCUACAGCUUCUGUUAUUGUGAUGUUGUCAUUAUCUGCUAAGAAAGUUAUUGCUCUAUCAUAAUACUGGGCACAUAAAGUGAGAAACGCAAAUGAACUAAAAACACUAGCACUGCAAACACUCAGAACAUAGAGAGCAGCAGUGCCUGGACUUUGCAGUCUCCCUCUUCAAGUCCCACUUCCGAGACUGGCUGCCUGUUGAGAACAAGCGACAAGCAGAACCUCCCACCCACAAAGCACCUACCUCCUCCCUAUUCCACACACCAGAAAUCAGUACUUCAGUCUGAUUGCCAUGUGAGUGUACAAUAAAAUAUUUGAAAAUAAAUUAAUGACAACUGUACCAAGAAAUCUGUUUUAUAUAUUUAAAUCCUAAAUAUUGCCAGGUUGGUUUUCACAGCUGUUUCACAAGGUGUUCAUUGUUGUAAAUUGUAAGGUGUCCUUUGAUAUUUGUUAGAUCAACAUUAUUAAUUGUUGUAUCCUGGGACCUACAAUAUAUACAUAUAUUCAACCACAAGGGUGUACUAAUGGCCCCCAUUGAAUUUGUUAUGUUUGAGUUACCCAGAUAGCAUAAACCAUGGCAAAAUGUGUAGAACUGCCUGAAAUUAGCUUUAAAACGGUACAGUUUUCUCUCUGCCCCAUGGCAAACUGUGUUGAAUUGCAGGAAAUUAUCUUUAAAACAGCCUCUAGGGCCUCUUUUUUUUUGGUCAAAGGCCAAUUAUUAUUGGACAAGUCCAGGUAGUCCCUAUGUUUCAGUCAGUAUUUUUCACUGGAGCCCAAUGAACAUGACACAGUUGAUUGGAAUUGCUCCAUUUACACAAGUAUAAAUCAAUUUGAACCUUUUAUCAUGCUAGAAGACCUCUAAACUAAAGGAGUUGGACUGUCCAAAAUGUAUUAUUAACUUGCUGCUAUUGUCAAAAUGUAUAGUUUAACUGCUUGAUUGAGUAAAAAGCAUGAUCAAAUAAGAAUAUCCAUAAAUUAUUAUUAUUAUUAUUAUAAAAAUGAUUGUCAAGUUUAAUCUGUGUCUGGGAAACUGGCCUUUAAAGGCCUUGUUCAAAUCCCACAGAGGGAACAGUAAGUGACCUCCUACCUGCACCGCCCAAUGGAGGGCUGUCUUGUCCACCAGUGUGGGAUCUGCCCCUUUCUGCAGGAGAACCUGCACAUGCUGAGGGUGGUUGUGGAAAGACGCCCAAUGAAGAGCAGUCAUGCCCUAUGGAGAACCAAUGAGAAUCGGUCAUAUUGCAAACUAGACAUACAGUGCCUUGCAAAAGUAUUCAUCC